rnacentral:rRNA from 1 species
AACGAACGCUGGCGGCGCGCCUAAUACAUGCAAGUCGAGCGAGAAGACGUAGCAAUACGUUUGUAAAGCGGCGAACGGGUGAGGAAUACAUGGGUAACCUACCCUCGAGUGGGGAAUAACUAGCCGAAAGGUUAGCUAAUACCGCGUACGCUCCUUGGACUUCGGUUCAGGGAGGAAAGCGAUACCGUGGGUAUCGCGCUCUUGGAUGGGCUCAUGUCCUAUCAGCUUGUUGGUGAGGUAACGGCUCACCAAGGCUUCGACGGGUAGCUGGUCUGAGAGGACAAUCAGCCACACUGGCACUGCGACACGGGCCAGACUCCUACGGGAGGCAGCAGUAAGGAAUAUUGCGCAAUGGGCGAAAGCCUGACGCAGCGACGCCGCGUGGGGGAUGAAGGUCUUCGGAUUGUAAACCCCUUUCGGGA